UACGUAGGGGGCAAGCGUUGUCCGGAUUUAUUGGGCGUAAAGAGCGUGUAGGCGGUUAGGUAGGUCCGUUGUGAAAACUCGAGGCUCAACCUCGAGACGCCGAUGGAAACCAUCUGACUAGAGUCCGGAAGAGGAGAGUGGAAUUCCUGGUGUAGCGGUGAAAUGCGCAGAUAUCAGGAGGAACACCCGUGGCGAAGGCGGCGCCCUGGUCCGUUUCUGACGCUGAGACGCGAAAGCGCGGGGAGCGAACGGG
rnacentral:rRNA from 1 species